CCUACGGGAGGCUGCAGUGAGGAAUAUUGGUCAAUGGACGAGAGUCUGAACCAGCCAAGUAGCGUGAAGGAUGACUGCCCUAUGGGUUGUAAACUUCUUUUAUAUGGGAAUAAAAUGUUCCACGUGUGGGAUUUUGUAUGUAACAUAUGAAUAAGGAUCGGCUAACUCCGUGCCAGCAGCCGCGGUAAUACGGAGGAUCCGAGCGUUAUCCGGAUUUAUUGGGUUUAAAGGGAGCGUAGGUGGAUUGUUAAGUCAGUUGUGAAAGUUUGCGGCUCAACCCUAAAAUUGCAGUUGAAACUGGCAGUCUUGAGUACAGUAGAGGUGGGCGGAAUUCGUGGUGUAGCGGUGAAAUGCUUAGAUAUCACGAAGAACUCCGAUUGCGAAGGCAGUUCACUGGACUGCAACUGACACUGAGGCUCGAAAGUGUGGGUAUCAAACAGGAUUAGAUACCCUUGUAGUC
rnacentral:rRNA from 1 species